rnacentral:rRNA from 1 species
CAGUCGCCGCGGUAAUACGAAGGGGGCUAGCGUUGUUCGGAAUUACUGGGCGUAAAGCGCACGUAGGCGGAUAUUUAAGUCAGGGGUGAAAUCCCGCAGCUCAACUGCGGAACUGCCUUUGAUACUGGGUAUCUUGAGUAUGGAAGAGGUUAGUGGAAUUGCGAGUGUAGAGGUGAAAUUCGUAGAUAUUCGCAGGAACACCAGUGGCGAAGGCGGCUAACUGGUCCAUAACUGACGCUGAGGAGCGAAAGCGUGGGGAGCGAACAGGAUUAGAGACCCCAGUAGUCCCUGUCUCUUAUAC